rnacentral:rRNA from 1 species
UACGAAGGGGGCUAGCGUUGCUCGGAAUCACUGGGCGUAAAGGGUGCGUAGGCGGGUCUUUAAGUCAGGGGUGAAAUCCUGGAGCUCAACUCCAGAACUGCCUUUGAUACUGGCGAUCUCGAGUCCGGGAGAGGUGAGUGGAACUGCGAGUGUAGAGGUAAAAUUCGUAGAUAUUCGCAAGAACACCAGUGGCGAAGGCGGCUCACUGGCCCGGUACUGACGCUGAGGUGCGAAAGCGUGGGGAGCAAACAGG